rnacentral:rRNA from 1 species
GACGAACGCUGGCGGCGUGCCUAAUACAUGCAAGUCGAGCGAAUCGAUGGGAGCUUGCUCCCUGAGAUUAGCGGCGGACGGGUGAGUAACACGUGGGUAACCUGCCUGUAAGACUGGGAUAACUUCGGGAAACCGGAGCUAAUACCGGAUACGUUCUUUUCUCGCAUGAGAAGAGAUGGAAAGAUGGUUUCGGCUAUCACUUACAGCUGGACCCGCGGCGCAUUAGCUAGUUGGUGAGGUAACGGCUCACCAAGGCGACGAUGCGUAGCCGACCUGAGAGGGUGAUCGGCCACACUGGGACUGAGACACGGCCCAGACCCCUACGGGAGGCAGCAGUAGGGAAUCUUCCGCAAUGGACGAAAGUCUGACGGAGCAACGCCGCGUGAGCGAAGAAGGCCUUCGGGUCGUAAAGCUCUGUUGUUAGGGAAGAACGAGUACAAGAGUAACUGCUUGUACCUUGACGGUACCUAACCAGAAAGCCACGGCUAACUACGUGCCAGCAGCCGCGGUAACAC